CAGCCAUUGCCGCCCUUGUAAUUGUUCGUUUUUGUGUAGCCAUUGCCGCCCUUGUAAUUGUUCGUUUUUGUGUAGCCAUUGCUGCCCUUGUAAUUGUUAGUUUUUGUGUAGCCAUUGCCAUUAAUGUAGUUGUUGUUGUUGACAUAGUUGGUCUUGUAGCCAUUACGAUUAACGUAGUUGUUGUUGUUGACAUAGUUGGUCUUGUAGCCAUUGUUGUUGUACAAGUUGGUGCUUUCAUAAUUACCUGUGCGAUCAAAGCUUUCACCGCUUAGUUCUUCGGCCAAAAUUUCAUCUUCACCAUCAAUGGUGGUUGGUGUCUCCUCCGUGGAAGGGGAUUUGC
rnacentral:lncRNA from 1 species